rnacentral:rRNA from 1 species
CCUACGGGGGGCAGCAGUGAGGAAUAUUGGUCAAUGGGCGCUAGCCUGAACCAGCCACGUCGCGUGAAGGAUGACUGCCCUAUGGGUUGUAAACUUCUUUUAUAUGGGAAUAAAGUGCAGUAUGUAUACUGCUUUGCAUGUACCUUAUGAAUAAGGAUCGGCUAACUCCGUGCCAGCAGCCGCGGUAAUACGGAGGAUCCGAGCGUUAUCCGGAUUUAUUGGGUGUAAAGGGAGUGUAGGCGGGUUGUUAAGUCAGUUGUGAAAGUUGGCGGCUCAACCGUAAAAUUGCAGUUGAUACUGGCAGCCUUGAGUACAGUAGAGGUAGGCGGAAUUCGUGGUGUAGCGGUGAAAUGCUUAGAUAUCACGAAGAACUCCGAUUGCGAAGGCAGCCUGCUGGACUGUAACUGACGCUGAUGCUCGAAAGUGUGGGUAUCAAACAGGAUUAGAUACCCGGGUAGUC